rnacentral:misc_RNA from 1 species
AACUUUUGACAAUGGAACACUUGGUUCUGGCAUCGAUGAAGAACGCAGCGAAAUGCGAUAAGUAAUGUGAAUUGCAGAAUUCAGUGAAUCAUCGAAUCUGUGAACGCACAUUGCGCCCCUUGGUAUUCGGAGGGGCAUGCCUGUUCGAGCGUCAUUAUAACCACUCAAGCCUGGCUUGGUAUUUGGGUUUUCGCGUGCUCGCGGCCCUUAAAAUCAGUGGUGGUGCCGUCUGGCUCUAAGCGUAGUAAUUUCUCUCGCUAUAGGGUUCCGGUGGUUACUUGCCAAAACCCCCCAUUUUUUCUAGGUUGACCUCGGAUCAGGUAGGGAUACCCGCUGAACUUAAGCAUAUCAAUAAGCGGAGGCU